UCUUAUCCUCCACGCAAACCCCAGCACCAGAAACCCUAGCCUCCUCCAUCUUUCCUUCCUCGCGCCGCCACUAAUUUCUUCCUCUCUUUGUUGUUCUUCUCUCCACCAAAACCCUCCCAGAGAGCACGUUCGUUCACAGCACAGGAAACCUCCACACCAACCUCACCAUGGCGCGUCUGCUGUAGACCUUCCCUCGCCGAGCUGAGACCACCGGAAGAUGCGCCUCGUCGUCCUCGUCAUCUCCGUCCAAGGAAUCGAGUCAAGACCCCGUAAAUCGAGCGCACGGUCGCCGUUCCCUUCUCCGUUUGGCCAUGCUCCGGCGAUGAUUUUGUCGCCGCCCUAUGUCCUCCUCCUCUUGUGACCACGCCAUCGGCUUCAGGGACCUCGUCGCCGGCGAGCUACGGCGGUCCCUCGUCGCCAAGGCCGCCACAUACCGGUUCCUUGCACCAAGGCGCAUCCCCGAUGCCAGCUACUCCGUCCCGGUUCGCUCAGAAUCCUCAGAUCAAGGCUCGACUGCGAGCUCCGCCAUGGUUGCCCGUGUCUCAGAUCUCCGCCUCGUUUUGGUUCAAAAGGUUGCGUGCCUUCUCCAAAUCAGCAUCAGAGAUCCGCAGAUGGGCUUCGCCCUGUUUUCCUCUGGAUGCAGCCCAGCUCGCCAGGCCGCAUCUCUCAUCCCCGUGAUGGAUCAGAUCCGGCCCACGUCGCGGCAGCAUUUGCUUCUUCCCGGAUAGGAUCACGAAGUGUUGAUGUGAGAUACGACAAGUUCUCCGGAUGUUCCUCGGCAAGCUUUAACAGGUAUGAAGAUAUGUUCGAUGAAGACGACGUUAGCAAGGUUACCCUUCCGGCUUGGCCUGGGCAGGGUUAUGGACGCCACUGGUUAUCUUCAGGACUCUUAGUCCAAUUUGUAUCUUGUCCGUACUCGGACGUAUUCGCUCUUCUGUAUGAGUUGGAUCUUUGUAUUGAAUAUUUGUAUCUUGACUCGUUGGAGUCGUUGUUGUAAUAUAUGUAUCUUGUGGGCUCUAUUGUAAUCAUGUUGUAAUGUUA